rnacentral:lncRNA from 1 species
UGCCUGCAUGUAUGUGUGAUUGUUUGUGUUUAUCAAUGUGCGCGUGCGUGCCUUUGUGUCUGCGCUUUGAGAGUGCGUAUAUUUGUGUGCGCGCGAGUGCGUUUUGUGUGCGUGCGUAUGUAUUGCAUAAGGCCGGUAGAGUUUUACUCGCAAUAAAACUCUUCCAAUUUGGUGCAGCGAGUGUUGCCGCCUGAAAGCCGAGUUUGGUUUCAAGCCAACCUGGACAACUGCUGUAUGAGGCGCUGUUUCUCAGGAGGAUCAGUGGGAAGGCGUCAGGUCAUGCAGAUGAUAGCAUCAAUUUCACAAUGCGCAGCCUUGGUGCCCUCCAUUAAGAGCAAGCCACUUGCGUUCGCCUUCAGGCAGAUGGUUGAUGUCUUCUAGGAAGCAGUUGGGAAGACUACAUUGAUGCAAGAUUCCAGCAAUGCCAUGCGCUGGCAUUUAUUGGUCAAGAUGCUCAGAGAAUGGAGUCCCUGCACC